rnacentral:rRNA from 1 species
GACAGAGGUGCCAAGCGUUAGGCGGAAUCACUGGGCUUAAAGCGUGUGUAGGCGGGUGCCUAAGUACCUUGUGAAAUCCCACGGCUCAACCGUGGAACGGCUGGGUAUACUGGGUGCCUUGGGUCAUCCAGGGGCUGCCGGAACAAAUGGUGGAGCGGUGAAAUGCGUAGAUAUUGGGAAGAACACCGGUGGCGAAGGCGGCGACCUGGUCCGAGACUGACGCUGAGGCGCGAAAGCGUGGGGAGCAAACAGG